AGGGCGCACGGUGGAUGCCUUGGCACUAGGAGCCGAUGAAGGACGGGACUAACACCGAUAUGCUUUGGGGAGCUGUACGUAAGCUAUGAUCCAGAGAUUUCCGAAUGGGGGAACCCAGCAUCUUUAAUAGGAUGUUACGAUUGUGUGAAUACAUAGCACAUUCGAGGUAGACGCAGAGAACUGAAACAUCUAAGUACCUGCAGGAAGAGAAAGAAAAUUCGAUUCCCUGAGUAGCGGCGAGCGAAACGGGAAAAGCCCAAACCAACAAGCUUGCUUGUUGGGGUUGUAGGACUCCAAUAUGGUCGUUCUUUCAGAUAGUCGAAUGACUUGGAAAAGUCAGUCAAAGAGGGUAAAAACCCCGUAGACGAAAUGUGGAAGACACCUAGGAGGAUCCUGAGUACGGCGGAACACGAGAAAUUCCGUCGGAAUCCGGGAGGACCAUCUCCCAAGGCUAAAUACUCCCUAGUGACCGAUAGUGAACCAGUACCGUGAGGGAAAGGUGAAAAGCACCCCGGAAGGGGAGUGAAAUAGAACCUGAAACCGUGUGCCUACAACAAGUCAAAGCCCGUUAAUGGGUGAUGGCGUGCCUUUUGUAGAAUGAACCGGCGAGUUACGAUUGCAUGCGAGGUUAAGUUGAAGAGACGGAGCCGCAGCGAAAGCGAGUCUGAAUAGGGCGUUUGAGUAUGUAGUCGUAGACCCGAAACCAUGUGAUCUACCCAUGUCCAGGUUGAAGGUGCGGUAAAACGCACUGGAGGACCGAACCCACGUACGUUGAAAAGUGCGGGGAUGAGGUGUGGGUAGCGGAGAAAUUCCAAACGAACUUGGAGAUAGCUGGUUCUCUCCGAAAUAGCUUUAGGGCUAGCCUCGGAAUUGAGAAUGAUGGAGGUAGAGCACUGUUUGGACUAGGGGCCCAUCUCGGGUUACCGAAUUCAGAUAAACUCCGAAUGCCAUUCAUUCAUAUCCGGGAGUCAGACUGUGAGUGAUAAGAUCCAUAGUCGAAAGGGAAACAGCCCAGACCACCAGCUAAGGUCCCAAAAUAUAUGUUAAGUGGAAAAGGAUGUGGGGUUGCACAGACAACUAGGAUGUUGGCUUAGAAGCAGCCACCAUUUAAAGAGUGCGUAAUAGCUCACUAGUCGAGUGACCCUGCGCCGAAAAUGUACCGGGGCUAAACAUAUUACCGAAGCUGUGGAGUACACCUUUAGGUGUAUUGGUAGGAGAGCGUUCUAAGGGCGUCGAAGGCAGAUCGUGAGGACUGCUGGAGCGCUUAGAAGUGAGAAUGCCGGUAUGAGUAGCGAAAGACAGGUGAGAAUCCUGUCCACCGAAUGACUAAGGUUUCCUGGGGAAGGCUCGUCCGCCCAGGGUUAGUCGGGACCUAAGCCGAGGCCGAUAGGCGUAGGCGAUGGAUAACAGGUUGAUAUUCCUGUACCCGUUGUUUUUGUUUGAGCAAUGGAGGGACGCAGGAGGCUAAGGAAUGCAGACGAUCGGAAAUGUCUGUCCAAGCAGUAAGUCUGAAGAGGAGUCAAAUGCUUCUUUUCUUAAGGACAAGCUGUGAUGGGGAGGGAAAUAAUAGUACCGAAGUUCCUGAUGUCACACUGCCGAGAAAAGCUUCUAGUGAGAAAACAGCGGCCCGUACCGCAAACCGACACAGGUAGUCGAGGAGAGAAUCCUAAGGUGAGCGAGAGAACUCUCGUUAAGGAACUCGGCAAAAUGACCCCGUAACUUCGGGAGAAGGGGUGCUGAUCAUACGAUCAGCCGCAGUGAAUAGGCCCAAGCGACUGUUUAUCAAAAACACAGGUCUCUGCAAAAUCGUAAGAUGAAGUAUAGGGGCUGACGCCUGCCCGGUGCUGGAAGGUUAAGAGGAGUGCUUAGCGCAAGCGAAGGUACGAAUUGAAGCCCCAGUAAACGGCGGCCGUAACUAUAACGGUCCUAAGGUAGCGAAAUUCCUUGUCGGGUAAGUUCCGACCCGCACGAAAGGCGUAACGAUUUGGGCACUGUCUCAACGAGAGACU
rnacentral:rRNA from 1 species